rnacentral:tRNA from 1 species
GGGCGGUUAGCUCAGCUGGAAGAGCGCCACGUUUACACCGUGGAUGUCGGAGGUUCGAACCCUUCACCGCCCACCA